rnacentral:lncRNA from 1 species
CAGGAUACAAUGUGUUUUUGGUAUUAUACACUGUGGGAUGAAUAUAUCAAGGGAUUCUCCAUCUGUAGAAUGAGAAUAAUAACUACUUGGAGUUGUGAAGAUAAAAUGAGCUACUGAUGAAUGAAAUAAAGAAAUGACUAAUUUUAAACCCUAAGUUUAGAUUGAAAUGCUCCGGUUUAGAGCAGAAUAAAAUAAUUUCAUGGCACUGUUGACUGAAUGCAAAGGUGAAAAUCUGUAACUGAAUUCUGCUCACACUUACUAAAAAGGCAUGAAAGCCAUUUGCAGCAAAGACUGAACCAACCAACAUUUAAAUAAAAUCUGAGAACAAGGCCAUUUCUAAAAUAAGAUACAAAACCAGGUGAAAGGCCAGUAUUGCUCUGAGAAGAGACCAGGAGAAAAAGAAAACACUCGGCACUAAGAAUCAUUCUUGUGCCAAACUAUGAAGAGAGGAA